GACAGAGGAGGGUGUGAGAGAAAGAGUUUGAGAUCUGAUCCAUUCUGUUUGGUUUUUGCCAAAACUCGAAACUUAGGGGCCCUUUCUCAAGAGGGUCUUCUCUUUCUGCUUCCCUUCCUUUCUUUCUCUGGUUUUUUCAUUUUUAAGCCUGGUCUUUGCACAGAAGGAUGGGCGUGGAGGUUGUGGUAUCUGAGAUGGUUCAAGUACCUGUUGAGACUGUCGUUGAAUUAGAUAAUUCAUUUAUGCAUGAGAAGGAAAAUGGAAAACUGGAUAAGGAAUCUGGGAUUAAAGAAACUAUAAAUUUUGGUUCACAUGAGGAGGAGCCAGCUAUACAAGAAGGGGAUGAGGUUGCAGAUUCCAAGUUCCCAAAAGAUGCUGUUGAUGAGUGGCCUGCUCCAAAGCAGAUCUAUACGUUUUAUUUUGUCAGAUACCGACCAUUUGAUGAUCCAAAAAUAAAAUCCAAAAUUGACCAAUUUGACAGGGAGAUUCAGAAGAGCAGUCAAUCUCGUUUUCAGAUUACUGAAGAAUUGAAAGC
rnacentral:misc_RNA from 1 species